CGAGUUUUCUAGACUGAUAAUUAUAUUAUUCAUGAAGCUGCUACUAGAAAUAAUGUGAAUAUAAGUUUAAAAAUUUUGAGCCUAUAGGAUAAAAUUUUCAUGUACAGUUCAUUCUUUGUUUCCACUCCUUCCAAAUGGGAUUCUCUCCCUGAGAAUAUGAAAAAAAAAAUGAACUGUACAUGNAAGUGUAUCUAAGGAAACACUAAAAAUCAAUGCUUUCGAUGUAUUGUAUAAUUAGCGGGCC
rnacentral:misc_RNA from 1 species